rnacentral:rRNA from 1 species
CAGUCGCCGCGGUAAUACGGAGGGUGCAAGCGUUAAUCGGAAUUACUGGGCGUAAAGCGCACGCAGGCGGUCUGUCAAGUCAGAUGUGAAAUCCCCGGGCUUAACCUGGGAACUGCAUUUGAAACUGGCAGGCUAGAGUCUUGUAGAGGGGGGUAGAAUUCCAGGUGUAGCGGUGAAAUGCGUAGAGAUCUGGAGGAAUACCGGUGGCGAAGGCGGCCCCCUGGACAAAGACUGACGCUCAGGUGCGAAAGCGUGUGGAGCAAACAGGAUUAGAUACCCCAGUAGUCCCUGUCUCUUAUAA